AAUUAUCCAAAGUUUAACAAGGUCAAACAAAGUUUGACAAAAAAUUUCAGCAUUUUUAGAAGUCAGAAACUAUUUUUAAUCAAUUAAAAAUGCAUAAAUAUAACCUAAUUGAAUUAAAAUCUCAAAUUAAUUAAUAAAUUGAUGAGAAUAUUUUUCAUAGAUCUAUCAUCAUUCAAAGAGGUUGGAAAAAUAUUUUUGUAUUUUUUGAAUAUCAAAAACUAUUUUAAAUGAAUUAAUAAUAACCAAAAAAGAGGAAAUUCUUAAAAAAUAUCAAAUGAUAAAAUAAAAAAUAUUAAAAAUCAUUUUUAGAAAUUAGAAAUUAAAAGAAGAAAAGUGCAAUUGGUCUCACAUUUUUUAGACCAAUAAUGAAGGAGAUAUGAUUUUUUAAAUGAAAUGGAAUUAAAAGAAAUAAAAGAAAAUGAAAUCAGAAAAUAAAAAUAGCAAAAAAAUGUGGAGCGUUGGAUGAAGCUCAUUAAUUGAGCUGACACAUCACAUGGCUCCUGAACGCGCGCCUACCAAAC
rnacentral:lncRNA from 1 species